rnacentral:lncRNA from 1 species
AGACAGCAUCUCAGCGAUGGGAAGAUUCACUUCCGUCUUCCUCUCCUGCCUCUCCUUCCUCCUCUUCGUCGUUCUUCUCCCACACGUCUCUUCGCGGCCAGCGGCCAUGCCCGCUCGACGCAGCAUCGUCGGCGAGACCUGCAACCAGAUCGCGAGAGGCGAUCCCAACGUGGACUUCACCUUCUGUUCGCAGUCGCUGCGGUCGGCCGCCGGAAGCGACGGCGCGGACCUGCACGGCCUCGCCAUCAUAUCGCUAAAGCUGGCGGUCGCCAACGCGACGUCCGCCGCGACCCGGGCGAAGGCGCUGCUGAAGGGCAACGGCCUGAGCCGGUACUACAAGUCGUGCCUGGACGC